rnacentral:misc_RNA from 1 species
GAUGAAGAACGUAGCGAAAUGCGAUAAGUAGUGUGAAUUGCAGAAUUCAGUGAAUCAUCGAAUCUUUGAACGCACAUUGCGCCCCUUGGUAUUCCAUGGGGCAUGCCUGUUCGAGCGUCAUUUGUACCUUCAAGCUCUGCUUGGUGUUGGGUGUUUGUCCUUGCUCUAGUGGCGGGACUCGCCUUAAAGUAAUUGGCAGCCAGUGUUUUGGUUUUGAAGCGCAGCACAAGUCGCGAUUCAAGUCUAUACGCUAGUUUCCACAAGUCUUUUAUCACUUUUGACCUCGGAUCAGGUAGGGAUACCCGCUGAACUUAAGCAUACAAUAAGCGGAGGA